UCAGAUUGAACGCUGGCGGCAUGCCUUACACAUGCAAGUCGAACGGCAGCACGGGUGCUUGCACCUGGUGGCGAGUGGCGAACGGGUGAGUAAUACAUCGGAACAUGUCCUGUAGUGGGGGAUAGCCCGGCGAAAGCCGGAUUAAUACCGCAUACGAUCUAUGGAUGAAAGCGGGGGACCUUCGGGCCUCGCGCUAUAGGGUUGGCCGAUGGCUGAUUAGCUAGUUGGUGGGGUAAAGGCCUACCAAGGCGACGAUCAGUAGCUGGUCUGAGAGGACGACCAGCCACACUGGGACUGAGACACGGCCCAGACUCCUACGGGAGGCAGCAGUGGGGAAUUUUGGACAAUGGGCGAAAGCCUGAUCCAGCAAUGCCGCGUGUGUGAAGAAGGCCUUCGGGUUGUAAAGCACUUUUGUCCGGAAAGAAAUCCUUGACUCUAAUACAGUCGGGGGAUGACGGUACCGGAAGAAUAAGCACCGGCUAACUACGUGCCAGCAGCCGCGGUAAUACGUAGGGUGCGAGCGUUAAUCGGAAUUACUGGGCGUAAAGCGUGCGCAGGCGGUUUGCUAAGACCGAUGUGAAAUCCCCGGGCUCAACCUGGGAACUGCAUUGGUGACUGGCAGGCUAGAGUAUGGCAGAGGGGGGUAGAAUUCCACGUGUAGCAGUGAAAUGCGUAGAGAUGUGGAGGAAUACCGAUGGCGAAGGCAGCCCCCUGGGCCAAUACUGACGCUCAUGCACGAAAGCGUGGGGAGCAAACAGGAUUAGA
rnacentral:rRNA from 1 species